CCAAGUCUUAGACUAAAGAUUUACAUUCCACAUGACACACAAAACAUUUGUAUAAGCGAAUCUAAAUAAUUAUGAAAGAAAUAAGGGACUACAGAGUGAUCCUAUCAUUCCUAUUGCUACCAGUAAUUGGCAUUGUUUUAAGUUAUGUGCAACGGCCGAGUCCAUAACCUCAGAUUCAAUAGUAGAGUAUUCUUCUUAUCUCCUUUCCGAACCUAAAACAGAAAAAAAUUUCAAAACAAAAAAUAAAAGAGGAAAUGAUAUUUGUUUCGUAUGGAUUUGAGUUCUUAUAUACUGCUAUAGAUCCCAUAAUGAAACAAAUUAUUAAUUAAACCACAAAACUCAAGAGGUCGAAGAUACAGACACAAUUCCUCUGAUUUUCAACAUAUGCUUAAAAACAGCAAAUCAAGAGAAUCCAGUGCACUUACACCUCUGUAAUAAAAAGUAAUAUCUAUACUGCAUCAAUCAACGAUGGCUCCUGUCUUCUGCAAAACCCAGAAUAAUUCCAAAUCAUAAAUCUUUUUAAAAAAGCAAAAAGAAAGAGAAAAUUAUACCCACGAAUGACUAGGGAAUAAGAAAACAGAAGCUAAACUAGAGUGAUGUGGGAGACAUGAUAAUGAAUGGGGCUCAUUACUCCCCACAUAACAUCUAUUUUAUAUUUGGAGAAAUAGGGAAGGAAGAGCGUGGAGUAUUGGACUUGGUCCAAAAAGGGACAAAGAUGCUUUUUUCUAUGUGUGAG
rnacentral:lncRNA from 1 species